GACGAACGCUGGCGGCGUGCUUAACACAUGCAAGUCGAGCGGAAAGGCCCCUUUGGGGGUCCUCGAGUGGCGAACGGGUGAGUAACACGUGAGUAACCUGCCCUUGACUUCGGGAUAACUUCAGGAAACUGGGGCUAAUACCGGAUAGGAAUCCUUGCUGCAUGGUGGGGGUUGGAAAGCUUCGGCGGUUUUGGAUGGACUCGCGGCUUAUCAGCUUGUUGGUGGGGUAGUGGCUUACCAAGGCUUUGACGGGUAGCCGGCCUGAGAGGGCGACCGGCCACAUUGGGACUGAGAUACGGCCCAGACUCCUACGGGAGGCAGCAGUGGGGAAUAUUGCACAAGGGGCGGAAGCCUGAUGCAGCAACGCCGCGUGCGGGAUGACGGCCUUCGGGUUGUAAACCGCUUUCAGCAGGGGCGAAGCUUGUGGUGACGGUACCUGCAGAAGAAGCACCGGCUAACUACGUG
rnacentral:rRNA from 1 species